rnacentral:rRNA from 1 species
GAUGAACGCUAGCUACAGGCUUAACACAUGCAAGUCGAGGGGAAACGACAUCGAAAGCUUGCUUUUGAUGGGCGUCGACCGGCGCACGGGUGAGUAACGCGUAUCCAACCUGCCCAUCACUUGGGAAUAACCUUGCGAAAGUAAGACUAAUACCCAAUGAUAUCCCACGAAGGCAUCGGAAUGGGAUUAAAGAUUUAUCGGUGAUGGAUGGGGAUGCGUCUGAUUAGCUUGUUGGCGGGGUAACGGCCCACCAAGGCAACGAUCAGUAGGGGUUCUGAGAGGAAGGUCCCCCACAUUGGAACUGAGACACGGUCCAAACUCCUACGGGAGGCAGCAGUGAGGAAUAUUGGUCAAUGGGCGAGAGCCUGAACCAGCCGAGUAGCGUGCAGGAAGACGGCCCUAUGGGUUGUAAACUGCUUUUAUAAGGGAAUAAAGUGGGUCACGUGUGACUUUUUGCAUGUACCUUAUGAAUAAGGACCGGCUAAUUCCGUG